UUAGUCUGGAGUAAAGGGAAAUCCAGGACAUGGAAAGUUUCUGGGAGCACCAUCCUGCCUGAAUGGAUCUACGAGUAAGGCUGAGUGGUAUACGGUGGUCUAGUAAGAUGCUUUAUCUGGGAUGGAUCACUGUCAUCAUUACCAUGCAAUCCUGGCAGUCACCGCACUCAGGCGCCUCAUUCAUUUACAGUACUCCUAAUUGGGGAUCCAAGGUUUGACAUCAUAUACAUAAUGUAUGCCUGGGCAAGUGCAUUUACUACACCCGGACUAAAAGCAUUAUCAUUGGGAUCAACGCUCUGUGUAAGGGAAGGAAGGUGACUCAUAUCACUGAAUCUCUUGCAGAGGUACUGUACAUGGAUGAUGAGCACUAUUUUCUCUCACAUCCAUUUUCUGCAAAAUAACCCUUCAUGUUGGCGCAUCAAGAGGAUGUAUUGUAUAAGAUGACGUCCAUUCUUGAAAAAGUGUGCUUGUGUGCCACUACAUCCAGUGACUUCAAAAUACUUUUAGCUCAAACCAGUUUUCAUUGUGUACAAAACUAACAGGAUUUGGCAUUUCAUUUUCUCAAAUGUUGUUGUAUUCCCUGAGAAAAUAAGUUCUAAAGAAAAGAAAAAGAUAGUUUGGGUGUGGAAAUCGUAGUGGUAGCAGCAUCAAAAUGCUGCAGAGAAACUGGUUGAGUUACUGUUGCCGAGGGUGCAAUCUUGAUGACUUGUCAAGGGGUGUAACCUCAGUGACUCAGAUGUGAAGUAUGUUCCCAUUCAAGGUGAAUGAGUCACUGGGUAACAAGAAAACUCCUCCUUAAGUGAGCAUGGCUCUUAUUCUCCCAUGCUUUUUUACUCUAACGUGCAGUUUCAAAGGAAAAUUAAUUAAUUAAGAAGGUGCUUUGGGCCAAAAUAUUGGAGUACGGAUUUGUUUUUGAAUUUAUAAAAAAGUUCUCAUCUCCAGGUGCAUUCAAAAAAAAAAAAAAAAAGUAGAAUGUGUGUAAGAAAAUAGUGUGCAACUGUGAAGCUAAAAUGAUUAUAUAUUAAACAACAUGUGCAGAUGCAUUAAUGUUCUUGAAACUAUUACAGCAGUAAAUAAGGCAUAUAGGAAUUUUGUUUUUAUUUUUAUUAUUAUUAUUAUUAUUAUUUAUUAUUAUUUUUUUUUUUUUUUUGAAGCACAGGUCUGCUUCUGAAAAGAUACGUUAUGCAUUUUAUACACUGAAAAAAGUGUAGGGCAGAAAUUGCACAAAUAAUUACAACAAAUCAGACUGAAUUAAAAAUGAAAUUUUGAUGUAGAAAAACUGAAAUACACUUAAAAAAUGGUGUGAAAACAAUUUUCA
ensembl:lncRNA